rnacentral:rRNA from 1 species
AUGUAUGACCGGUGGGCCGCUUCGUCGGUGGGGUCGUCAUGCAUUGGCUGGGUUUGCCGCCGCCCGCCCGCACCCCUCCCUCCUCCCUCGUCUCAGCCGCCACCCCCACGAACCCUAGUUGCGCCCUCCUGCAUCCUCCCCUCCCUGGUCCGCCCCAAGAUCCUCCUCCUCCGUCCUCACAUGCUCCACCCUGAGCACGCCGUCGGCGAGGCGCACCGCAAGGCCCCGGAGCAACUCAGCCAGAGCCCCUCCGUACAGGAGGAACCCCGCGGCCAGCGCAACCAACAACGGUGGCGCAUACAAGAGCUCGGCCUUGAUGGGCCGCGCGCUGUACGCGAGGGUCACGUCCGCGCUGGAGGGCAGCAACGAGCACAUGGUGUGGUACAAGGAGGUGCGCAGGGAGAAGGUGCACGGCUCCGCCUAGCACCAUUUCAUGUUCAUUGCCUUGCUGUGGUUGCACCGUGGGGUUGUUAUGCUCUGUCCCUCGAGGAAGAAAUAGAAGUUGAGGGGAAGCUAUUGCAUGCUGGGAAAUCAGUUGGUGUUGUCUAUGUUGGUUUCCGGAAGAAAAGGACCGGCAAAUUGAUGGCUCAGGCACGUCGUACAAAGUACCUUGCUAUGUUGAUUCGAGAAGAGAAAGGAGUUGUCGGCGUGGUGUGGUGCGAGACCUUUGUCCCGGAGCAUGCAGAUUGUCAGUAUAAAAUAAGGUAUUUUAAUGUUUUAGUGUUCUCCAACUGCAGCGGCCAUGUCGUGACUGCCGUGUUGAGUUCUUGCACAAGCACAACCUCUAGCCCAAUAUAUACCGGAUUGAGUACUGCACUUUUAACUUAUAUACCAUGGUCGUGCCUGAUGAUUGCUGUCAUGCUUUGGAUCCCAAAAAUUAUGCACAACGACAUUGGCAUCAUAGACAAGUCGUUUGGGCUUCAAACUGCAGUGGGGAUUGCUCAGCAGGCGAUCGAUGCGGCACAUGUGGAGGUUGUGAGCUUUGUGAAUGGCAUCGGUCUUGUCAAACUUAGGGGCAGGAUCGCUGGUAAGGAGUUAUUCCACGGACUGAUGACCAGAAUCAAGAGCAGGAUGAGUCUGGCAACUGUCCUGCAUGGUUAA